AGCAGCCGCGGUAAUUCCAGCUCCAAUAGCGUAUAUUAAAGUUGUUGCAGUUAAAAGCUCGUAGUUGAAUUUCGGGAUUGACACAUCGGUCGUGCCUUAAGGGGUAUGAACUGGUGUAGUCAAUUUCUCACCUUCUGGAGAACCGCGAUGCCCUUAAUUGGGUGUCACGGGGAACCAGGACCUUUACUUUGAAAAAUUAGAGUGUUUAAAGCAGGCAUUUUGCUUGAAUACAUUAGCAUGGAAUAAUAAAAUAGGACGGCAUGAUUCUAUUUUGUUGGUUUCUAGGAUCACCGUAAUGAUUAAUAGGGAUAGUUGGGGGCAUUAGUAUUCAAUUGUCAGAGGUGAAAUUCUUGGAUUUAUUGAAGACUAACUACUGCGAAAGCAUUUGCCAAGGAUGUUUUCAUUAAUCAAGAACGAAAGUUAGGGGAUCGAAGACGAUCAGAUACCGUCGUAGUCUUAACCAUAAACUAUGCCGACUAGGGAUCGGACGAAGUUAAUUUUAUAAUGACGCGUUCGGCAC
rnacentral:rRNA from 1 species